UUUACAGGGACAGGAACUCAGUGAAUGAAGCCAAGGCCCAAACGAGUCCCACAUGGAGUGGAAGAAAUCCUCGGUGAGAACACGACAGAUUUAGCAAUGGCUAAAAAUGCAGCAGUGAAACUACGGAGCUGGGCCAGCGUCAGUGUAAACCCCCGAGCCCGGUGACAGCUGCUGCCCGAGACCUUUCUUCACAGGCUGUACCCAGAGCGAGGGAGCAACAUUCACUUCCUUGGAUGAACUUUCAUGUGUAGACAACCCUAAAAACGACUGUAAUCCUCAACGCUCACCAAACGCAGAAACACAGAACUUUGUAAUGUCAUCAUGGCCUGAUCCACUGUCAACGUAGAGGAAAUAGAAGCUUCUGAACGACUCCUUAAAAGGACUAAUCAGCAGUGAGAGAUCCUCUGGGUGAAAGCGACUCUGCUGGUAAAGUGAGGGUUUGCAAGUGCACAUCUUCCCUCCUCGCGAAGGUUAAAAGCCAAAGUUCCUCUGCCGAGUCAAGUGAGAACAUCCCCCUGACUUCUC